rnacentral:rRNA from 1 species
UACAGAGGUCCCAAGCGUUGUUCGGAUUCAUUGGGUUUAAAGGGUGCGUAGGCGGACUGAUAAGUCAGUGGUGAAAUCUCUCGGCUUAACCGAGAAACUGCCAUUGAUACUGUUAGUCUAGAGUAUAGAUGACGUUGGCGGAAUAUGACAUGUAGUGGUGAAAUACUUAGAUAUGUCAUAGAACACCGAUUGCGAAGGCAGCUAACGAAACUAUAACUGACGCUGAGGCACGAAAGUGAGGGGAUCAAACAGG